AACUGACAACAAGAGAACCUGUCUGAUAUUAUGAAAUAUUUACUGUUAGGGGUAAAAAUAUCUACCAGACCACCGGACAGGCUACUUUUGAAAUUUGACCAUCCGAGAUGAAAAUAAACCGUUCCGGCCUGUCGGGCUGGCGGGAAUUUUAAACGCUAGUCAUAUAUAUCAUAUGUGCACAUAUGUGUAAUAGCAGUGACAAUGUGUAAUAAUCUCUAUUUCUGCAAUCAUAAGAAGUAUGUGCUUCAAGCACAUUGUCUGAUUCCAACUAUACCAUAAGUAUGUGUUUAUGAGUUAUUAUCAAACAGGUUGAAACAUUUUCUUCUACUGUACAAGUUAAGUCUUCUGACAUAUUCAUUGCCUUAGAAGCUGUUUCGUGGCAUUCGACAAAAACGGAUAUUGACACCAUGUAUUGACAUGAAUUACUAAAAAUAGAAUGGAAAUACUCGGAAGUGGUGUUCCUCAAAUCUAAGCUGAUCAGAUGUCUCCGUUUUGCUUUUUAUACAUCUGUUAAAACCAACGUAACAAACCCUCCCCAUUUUCAUAAGAAAUCUCUCAUAAAAGCAGAGUUAAAAGUAGAGACUAAGCAUGUUUAUGAAUCAAAAUUGUGAUGAUACCAGGUGUUCGCUAAAACUGAGCGUAUCCUGCUCCACGGUUUGGCACCGUCAUAAACACAUGCAAAGCCUAGGAAAGUGUUCACCUGAUGAAAUUCGGGAACGUAUGGUACAAGUCCAAAUUUAAAGGGAAAUGCAUCAGACAUAAUGUUGCUGCAUCAGAUUUUGAGAUGUUCUCAACAUGUCUACUGUAAAACCACCAGCAAAAACAUCGACCCAGUUAAAAUAAAUAUUAUUUAAAACGUCA